ensembl:lncRNA
UGCCCCCCAGACCACUGAUAGCAACCAUCAUAAUGCCCCACCCAGCUUCCGGCACCUUUCGCUACUCCGGCACAAACCGACACAGCUUUGCGAUCUCGCCAGCAUGCAGAGUCUGAUGUCUUCCCUAUAGAUGAUUCCAGAGACUCUGUGAGGCCACUAUUACAAGGUGAGACGCUUUGCGUUGAUUGGUGCUGCUGGACCACACUGGAGGUGCGAGUCCGCCGUGUAAUGGUUUAUGCCAUUACAAAGGAGCUGGCCUCUGUACUCAACUGGGCAGGGAAAAAAACCAAGGACCAGACAAAGCAAAAA